rnacentral:rRNA from 1 species
UGCGUAGGCGGCUUUGCAAGUCUGAUGUGAAAUCUCCGGGCCCAACCCGGAAAUGGCAUUAGAAACUGUGAGGCUGGAGGCUUGGAGGGGGAACGUGGAAUACUUGGUGUAGCAGUGAAAUGCGUAGAUAUCAAGUGGAACACCGGUGGCGAAGGCGAGUUCCUGGACAAGACCUGACGCUGAGGCACGAAAGCCGGGGGAGCAAACA